UUCCUUUUAGGACUCAUAUGCAUGAUGACGAGGUGUUCAUACGUUUGUGUGACAUGUGCCUCCCAUAGAUAUUAUUACAAUGUCAGCAUAUUACUAUUCUGAUG